CCACUGGCUUCUCAACACAGGGUUUUUCAGCUGCAAAAGGCCACAGGUGCUGCCUAGGAAAAGUUGGACAGUGGGGUAGCUUGGCCUGAGCCCAGGGCAAUAGCAGGAUGGCCAUGGCCCAGCCAGGCACAAAGUUGUUGCUCAAUAAGCAAAUGCUGGAAGGAUGAAUGCAUGAACUGAACUAUUAUCUACUAGAGCCUGCAUCCUUGCUAAGAGCCAGUCAUCCCUCAGUAUCCAAGGCUGUUUGGUUCCAGGACUCCAGCAGAUACCCAAAGCCAAGGAUACUCAAGUUUCUUGGGCUGGGUGACCUGACAGAUGG
ensembl:lncRNA